rnacentral:lncRNA from 1 species
GGAAUUGUGUUAAAAUGAAAGUGGGGAUUUUGUCCCACAUUGGUUUUGCUAUCAAAGUAGGUGGAGACCCUUAGGCUAUUUAAGGAGUUCCAAGGUCUUUGAUACAAUUGCACCAAUCACUACCUUUAGUCUUGUGAUUACUUCUAGUUUGAAAUUCCUUGCUCUUUGUUUUAGAGGGGUGAGAGGUUUUACAAGGCUUGUAAGAGUGUAGUGGUUGUGAGUCGAGAGGGUGAGUAAAUACUGUGUGAUUGUAGAAAUUUAUCUAUAUAGUAAUUUUUCAGUGUGUCGUGGUUUUUCUCCGGUAUUUGGAGUUUCCACGUUAAAUUCUUGUGUUGUUAAAUUGUGUCUAUUUUAUUCUUAUUUCUUGCUUCUACCAAGUUUGGAUGGGGAACUGAUUUCCCAACAAUUGGUAUCAGAGCCUGGCUGAGGUCUCUUGAUAUUCCAAGUAUGCUCUGUGGUUGCAGCAUUGUCUGAUCUUCCACAUCAGAAAGGAUUUCUUGAGAAAGAUCCGGGCGGGGUGUCUCUUGCGAGACGGCUGUUCAUUUUGGUGGAGAAGCGGUACGUCAAGUCAACUUCAAGUCCAAAUGAAGUUCGACGUGGAGAAAUUCGAUGGAAUAAUAAAUUUUGGCUUGUGGCAAGUGCAAGUCAAGGAUGUGCUGAUACAAUCUGGGGUUACACAAGGCCCUGAAAGGAAGUCCUGGUGCAGUCAAAAAGCCCGGUGCAGAUGAUGACGCAAACAUCAAGUCCGGUAUGAGUGAUGAAGAUUGGGAGGAUCUGGAUCUGAAGGCGGCAAGCACAAUUCGUCUCUGCUUGGCCAAGAAUGUACUUGCAAAUGUACAUGGGAUUUCGAGUGCGAAGGAGCUUUGGGAAAAGCUGGAAGCUCUGUACCAAGCAAAAGGCAUCUCGAAUCGGUUGUAUUUGAAGGAACAAUUUCAUACCUUACGGAUGGAUGAAGGUGUGAAGAUUUCAGAUCACUUGAGUAUUCUCAAUGGCAUUAUCUCUGAACUGGUAGAGUAUUGGAGCGAAAAUUGAAGAUGAGGAUAAGGCGUUGAGACUCAUCUUGUCUCUUCCACGUUCCUAUGAACACAUGAAGCCAGUAUUAGUUUAUGGGAAGGAAACUCUGGUCUUUGUCUGAAGUCACGGGGCAAACUUACUUUUGGAAGAAAGAAGGCUGAUGAGUGAAGGACGUCCUUCAUCGGAAAAUUCAGCAAUGGUGGCCUUUAGCAGAGGGAGGAAGAAAGACUCCAAGGGCGUUGUUUGUUGGAGGUGCGGAAAACCCGGCCAUACGAAGCGAAACUGUCCAGGUGGAGCUUGUCGAGGUGGAGCGGAUUCGGCAGAAAGCUCCGAACAAGCAGCUAACAUCGUGUUUGAUGAUGUCCUUUGAGGACAUGAAUAUCCUUAUGGCAUGUCCAAUGGCCAUGAUAGAGGAUGUGACGAUGUUAGUUGGACCACAUGUGCAUGGUUUUUGGCAUGGAUGCAGGUGUGUGGUGAAAAGUAUGUCGAUGGCUGAUGACUUCUAGGAGGGCCAAAAGCUAGAAGGUUGCACCAAAAUUUCAGCAAGGUUUUUUCGACAUGUGCCGAAGUAAAAUUCUUAGAAUGGUUUAUUCUAAGUGUUCUACUCAUUUGGUGGAGUAGGUUUAUUCUCUUUUGAGGAUGAUGGUUCUUUGUGAUAAGAAUCAUAAUUGUCGGUGAAGACAAUGGUGUUUUUCUUUCAUUUUUAACAAGGUGGAGAUUGUUGGAAUUGUGUUAAAAUGAAAGUGGGGAUUUUGUCCCACAUUGGUUUUGCUAUCAAAGUAGGUGGAGACCCUUAGGCUAUUUAAGGAGUUCCAAGGUCUUUGAUACAAAUGCACCAAUCACUACCUUUAGUCUUGUGAUUACUUCUAGUUUGAAAUUCCUUGCUCUUUGUUUUAGAGGGGUGAGAGGUUUUCAAAGGCUUGUAAGAGUGUAGUGGUUGUGAGUCGAGAGGG